GAUGAACGCUGGCGGCGUGCCUAAUACAUGCAAGUCGAGCGAACAGACGAGAAGCUUGCGCCUUUGACGUUAGCGGCGGACGGGCGGGUAACACGUGGAUAACCUACCUAUAAGACUGGGAUAACUUCGGGAGACCGGUGCUAAUACUGGAUCAUAUAUUCAACCGCAUGGAUCAGUAGUUCAAGGCGGUUUUGCUGUCUCUUUUAGAUGGUUCCGCGCUGCAUUAGCUAGUUGGUAAGGGAACGGCUUAACAAGGCUACGAUGCGUAGCCGACCUGAGAGGGAGAUCGGCCACCCCGGAACUGGGAAACGGUCCAAGCUCCUACGGGAGGCAGCAGUAGGGAAUCUUCGGCAAUGGGCGGAAGCCUGACGGCGCAAAGCCGCGGGGGUGAUAGAGGUCUUCGGAUUGUAAAACUCUGUUAGUAGGGAAGAACAAGUGUGUGAUUAACUAUGCGCGUCUUGACGGUACCUAAUAAGAUAACCACGGCUAACUACGUG
rnacentral:rRNA from 1 species